rnacentral:rRNA from 1 species
UAAUACCAGCAGUUCAAGUCGCAUCCCUUUUUAUUGGGUCUAAAACAUCCGUAGCUUGUUAUAUAAGUCUCUUGUGAAAUCCCACGUCUCAAGCGUGGGAAUGGCAGGAGAUACUGUACAGCUAGAGAUCGGUAGACGUAAGCAGUACGCCGGAGGUAAUGGUAAAAUAUGUUAAUCUUCGGUGGACUAACAAUCAGCGAAGGCAGCUUACGAGGACGAAUCUGACAGUCAGGGAUGAAGGCCAGGGGCGCAAAACGGAUUAGAUACCCGUGUAGUCCUGGCAGUAAACGCUGCUCACUAAACAUUGGGCCCUCUUCGGGAGGAUUCAGUGCUGAAGCGGAGGCGAAGAGUGAGCUACCUGGGAAGUAUAGUCGCAAGAUCG